rfam:Lupinus angustifolius cultivar Tanjil chromosome LG09, whole genome shotgun sequence.
GUUGUCGUCAGCUUGUGCCGUAAGACGUUGGGUUAAGUCCCACAAUGAGCGCAACCCUCGUGUUUAUUUGCCAAUGUUGCGUUUGGAACCCUAAGGAGACACCCGAUGAUAAGCCGGAGGAAGGUCCAAUUGGAGUCAAUU